UACAGAGGUCUCGAGCGUUGUUCGGAUUCAUUGGGCGUAAAGGGUGCGUAGGUGGCAUGGUAAGUCGGAUGUGAAAUCCCGGGGCUCAACCCCGGAACUGCAUUCGAUACUGCUGCGCUAGAGUACUGGAGAGGAGAUUGGAAUUUACGGUGUAGCAGUGAAAUGCGUAGAUAUCGUAAGGAAGACCAGUGGCGAAGGCGGAUCUCUGGACAGUUACUGACACUGAGGCACGAAGGCCAGGGGAGCAAACGGG
rnacentral:rRNA from 1 species